rnacentral:rRNA from 1 species
GACGGAGGGAGCAAGCGUUGUUCGGAUUUACUGGGCGUAAAGGGCGUCUAGGCGGGUUGGUCAGUCAGAUGUGAAACCCCCCGGCUCAACCGGGGAUCUGCAUUUGAUACUGCCGAUCUUGAGUACGGAAGAGGAAAGCGGAAUUCCUGGUGUAGCGGUGAAAUGCGUAGAUAUCAAGAAGAACACCGGUGGCGAAGGCGGCUUUCUGGUCCGAUACUGACGCUAAAGCGCGAAAGUGUGGGGAGCAAACAGG